GACGAACGCUGGCGGCGUGCCUAACACAUGCAAGUCAAGGAGAAUUUUCCCUUCGGGGAAUUAGUAAACUGGCGCACGGGUGAGUAACGCGUAGGUCAUCUGCCCCAAUCUCUGACAUAACAUCGAGAAAUCGGUGCUAAUAUCAGAUGAGGUGCUUCGGCAUCAAAGGUUUUCGGCUGGAUUGGGAUGAGCCUGCGUCUGAUUAGCUUGUUGGUAAGUACGGCUUACCAAGGCAACGAUCAGUAGCUGGUCUGAGAGGACGAUCAGCCACACUGGAACUGAGACACGGUCCAGACUCCUACGGGAGGCUG
rnacentral:rRNA from 1 species